GUGCAGUUUGGCCUCAAAAACGCAGCAGGGGCUGCGUGUCACCACUUGACAUUGUCCCUUCUGGAAGCCUCUGCUGAGCAUGGCAGCUUGACGGCUCUGGGAAGCAGUUGUCUGUCUGCAGGAAUUAAGGGAGAUUAUUUCUAUCUUUCCUUCUAGCAGGAAUAACAGGGAUACGAGCGCCGGCGCAGGCUCACUCCCACGUGGAAGCAGUUGGCUUAGCGGUCUCGGCGGAGGAAAGCCAGGCAUUGCAAUAGGGAUUCCUGCACUUUCAAAGCAGCAGGCAGAUGUUUCUUCAUAACAGAGCCCCACGUUCACGCUGCAGCAGAUGGCACCAUGGCCACCGCGGCAACAUGGGGACCUCCGCUCUGCUCCCAGCCCCAAGCAGGACGAGCAGUUUUCCUUCUGGACGGUGGCCUGGAGCCAGGUAUCCAGAUGAACAGAGGGUUUAAGGGUCACGUACGUGCUGCCACCAGCUCUGGCCCCAUUUCACAGCGUGACCAGGGAGAGCUGCGAGCUCCUGGCUGUGGCCGUGGCAGGGAAACGUGUUCCCUGGGCAGUGCCCAUGAGACCUGUGGAGGUUGGGAAUGAUCCCUGUGACCCCUCCUGAGCUCCAUUUACUGGAUCUAUUCAUAGAAGCAUCGACUGGUUUGGUUUGGAAGGGAUUUGGCCUGGAAGCUCCAGGUCUGCUCUGAUAUUCCUGUUUGGAAUUGCAGCCCCUGCCCAUGCGGACACUGUUCUGGGGGUCCCCUCUACCUUUGGGCAGGAUUUGGGUGCAUUGUUCCCGUGGGUGACCUGGGUGGGAACAGAGCCUGGCUUCCCUCCUGCGUUAGGUUUUCCUUUCUGAGCUUUGUGUGAACAUCCCUUAGCAACCAAAUCGGUUCCUAAGGGUGCUGAUAUCCCCAUUGCCUUCACUGAAGCUCUCCAGGAGAGCUCUGUUCCUUGGAGAGGUGUCUCUUACAGCCACACGACUGAGCCAGGCUCGUGUUCCAACUGGAGAGGUGUGUAAUGGGGAAGGUCUCCAGGAUGCCACCCUUGGAGAAGGGGGAGCAACCGCCCUGAAGACGCCCUGAACCACCCUGGUGUGCCUGGGUGAGCUGUGCAGGAGCAAACCCAGCCUGGGGGACCCAGCUUGUGGCCUCUGAGGAUUGCUCUUCUAUAGGCAAAUCCCAGGGCUGCUGUAACGUUGUCACCUCUGUGAUGCUGCGUGGCAUUAACAUCGCACUGAUGGCAUGAACUGCGCUGACGCCGCGGCUUCUGUCAGAGCCAAAGGGAAAAGAGCCCGUCAGUCCUUCGGGAAUGUUGUGCUUUCGGGGUCAGGGACCAGCUUUUGGAUACAAAUGGCUCAAUGGUGCCCAACUGAAGCCUGACAGCGUGGAUCCCACCCAGCCCGAGGAGCAGCAUCCCCGAGUGAAGCCUGUGCCAAUGCAUUUUGCUCAUGCUUCCCACCUCUUUAAUUAAAUUAGCAGGAACACGAAGGGUUGCCUGACCCUUAUUGGGUUAAAUGAGCUGGUCUCCAUGGCAACCUGCUUCUCAAAGCUCUGAUGUCUUGCUGUCUCUCCUCCAAACCCUUCAUUCCUCAUGCUGGAUCCCUCUCUGUGGCAUUGACAUGAGCUGUGUGUACCACGCUUGGGAGGGAGGCAGCUUCCCUCAGCCUGCUGGGACCACUGGAGAUCCCUCAUCUUGCAGUGACUUCGGGAUCUGCUGCCCCCAUAGCUGCCCAGGAGGUUCCAUUCGGAUCAUCCUGCUGGAGGAGGACAGAAAAAGAAGUCAUUUGAGCAACCUGGUCUAGUGGAAGGUGGCCCUGCCUGAAGGUCUUUCCCAAACCCUUCUGUGAUGCUAUGGAUGAGGCUUUGGACCUGACCUAGUGGAUGAUGCCCCUAGAUGUCACUAGGUGAUCUUUGAAGGUCCCUUCCAACCCAAACCCUUCUGUCAUGGGUCCUGGAAGCCACCAGCUCAGUGAAGAGCUUUAAGAUGAGCUUUAAAGUCCCUUCCAACCCAAACCAGUUGGUGACUCUGAUUUGGCAUGAAAAGGAAAAGGGGCAACUCAAGGGAAAGGAGGGCUGUUACUUGCCCAUGUGCCCUCUUCUUGUCCCCAGCACAGGCUGCAAGUGCAGGAAUAGUUCAUAGAACAGGCAGAGAUGAACCAAGACUCAAGAUUAAAGCAAUUUCAAGCUCAAAA